rnacentral:rRNA from 1 species
CCAAUAGCGUAUAUUAAAGUUGUUGCAGUUAAAAAGCUCGUAGUUGAAUUUCGGGAUCAGCAUGUUGGUCGUGCUUCGGUACGUACUGUCAUUACUGGUUCCUCCCUUCUGAAGAACCGCGAUGUCAUUAAUUUGGUGUCGUGGGGAAUCAGGACUGUUACUUUGAAAAAAUUAGAGUGUUUAAAGCAGGCACACGCUUGAAUACAUUAGCAUGGAAUAAUGAAAUAGGACGUUUGAUUCUAUUUUGUUGGUUUCUAGGAUCGACGUAAUGAUUAAUAGGGAUAGUUGGGGGCAUUAGUAUUCAAUUGUCAGAGGUGAAAUUCUUGGAUUUAUUGAAGACUAACUACUGCGAAAGCAUUUGCCAAGGAUGUUUUCAUUAAUCAAGAACGAAAGUUAGGGGAUCGAAGACGAUCAGAUACCGUCGUAGUCUUAACCAUAAACUAUGCCGACUAGGGAUCGGAUGAUGUUAUUUUUGAUGACUCAUUCGGCGCCUUACG